UGACGAAUAUUGGUCAAUGGUCGGGAGCCUUACCCAACCAAGUAGCGUGCAGGGCAACGGCCCUAUGGGUUGUAAACUGUUUUUAUGCGGAGGUAAAGUGCGGUACGUGUGGAAUUAUUUGCAUGUACCGUAUGAAUAAGGACCGGCUAAUUCCGUG
rnacentral:rRNA from 1 species